rnacentral:lncRNA from 1 species
AUUGCUUCUAACCCUUCCAAGUCUGAGCACAGAGAGAAGCCUGGGGAAGAGGCAGCUGUGAAAGAGCAAGAAUGGUCCACCUGCCCCUUACCCAAGUUUUGGACGGCCUCCAUGCGUCCUGCCAGAGAGAAGAGAGACUUCUAAGAGUCUCUGAGAAGGGGCCUGCCAACUUCAACAGCCCUGGCUCCCUUAGGUCGCUUUUUGUGCUGGUGACUGAACACAGGCACACGCCCUGCCAAUGGAGCCACAAUUCCGGCUUGCCCCACUUUUUGGCAGACAAACAAGACAAUGUACUUUAAUUCUUAGAAUAAAUUUAUUUGGUUUUAUGUGUAUGAAUGUUUUGCCUCUAUGCCACACCACAUGAACUCCUGUCGAGUUCAGGAGAAAGUGUCAAAUCUUCUGGAACUGGAGUUACUGAUGGUUGAGAGCCACCCCGUGGAUGCUGGGAAUCAAACAUGGGACCUUCGCAAGAGCAACAAAUGCUCCAAAACACCGAGCCUCUUCCAAGAGAGCGAACUUUGAACAUCAGUGCCCUCCCUGGGCUGAGCAGCAAGGGAAGUCCUGUGAGCAGCAGUCCAGUGACUGUGUCCUGAUAAGGUGACAACCGUCUCUGUACCUUGCCCUCUCCCCAUAAUUAGGCCUGUGAUAGCCUCUGGCUCCUUAUUCCCAGGCUAGAACUCA